UUCACUGAGCAAGUAUAGCAACAAAGCGAAAAGGAAAAGUACAUUCUGGACAGGGUAUAAUCUGAAAAUUUGGAGCCAGAAAAUAGAUUUAGCAAGCGAGAUAAAAGAACAGCCUUCCAUCAUGUGUAAUUCAAGCUUCCACUACCACUGGAAGCAUAAAGCAAUUAUCUAGUGUGAACAGUUCUUUAGGAUAGACAAUGGGCUGCCAUUGAUUGAAGCAUGUAUGCACUUUCUGUCAUGGAGAAAAGUGGUUACAGGCUUACAGCUCAAGUGCUUAGCGUUUUGGCAGUGUGAAAUAUUACAUGAAUGCUCAUGUAAUCAAAACUAGUACAACUUCUUAACCAUUCUUCGUGUUUAUGCAUUUCCCAACAAUCCAGAUUUGUGCACCUCUAGUACACACAAUGGCAAUUUACUUGCAAUUCAGGUCGCAGUUUAUACCUCUGGAAGGUCGUCCAACGAUCGUAUCACUUCGGCACAGUCACUUUGAGAAUCAUCAUCUUGCUGGCAGGGUGAGCCCUUUGGAUUGCAGGUUGGAGCAAUCGAUCCGCCUGGGAUACAUCAGUUACGAUCACUGAUGACAGUACAGAAAACAGUGAGAUACAAUUCACAAGCAAACUGACAUACAAAUGAUUGUUAAUGGUCUAGAAAUGUACAAACAAUCUCAAAAUUAUGAAUGUCUUUUGCAAAUCUGCUACGCGGACACUAUCCACAAUUCGCUACGUCCACCCCAAUCCGUUGUCCGCUAUUUAAAACCUUGCAUACAUCGAGUUCCGACCACCGACUACAGUACAGACAGAAAACAGUGGGAUGCGAUGCGAUUCACAAGUAUUCUCUAUGAGUGAAUCAGCUUGGAACUAUGCCGAGGCUAAUAUCAGUUUUUAACCCCCAUUAAACAGAUCUAAUAGGUUAUGGGGAUUAAAGUGGACGAGCAGAUGAGCAUACGCUGAGACAAAUUUACGAAUGGUAGGGAAAUGGAGGAGGGGGGAAGGGGCGUACGGUCUGGGGUUGCCCCCGUCAGCGGCGGGGGAUCCUGCAUGUAAGAGUGCCGGAAAUGGGAACGACGGUGAAGCUCUCCGAGCCUUUUCUUUAGGUCCUGUCGCCCGACGAGACCCUGCCAGCGCCAGUGCCUUGAGAAGGCCG
rnacentral:lncRNA from 1 species